ACAGAUAUACACAAAAGGAGGAGGUAUGCAAAGAGAGAAUAAGACGAAAAAAAACAAAAAUAAAGAAUAAAGAAAGAGGAGGAGGAACGAAAAGAUCUGGGGGAAGGUAGAUAAACACACACAUGCAAAGAAAGAGGGUCUGGGGAUGGGAUCCAAGGGGAAGGAGACAGAGAAAUAGAAAAACGAAAACUGAGGGGAACGUGAGAAAAACAGAGGGACAUAGGCAGCUGGUCUUCUUUAUCUAUAACCCAAAAAAAUCCAUCCCUAAGAACACUAUAGAGUCCAUGUAAAGUUCACUACCAAAAAGCAGCUCCUCCACCUUGAAAACAGCCGCAAAACAUCCAAAAAGAGUCCAAAAAUCAGCUCCAAAACACUAACUUUCUUAGCCCUGAAAUUCAGCCAAAACAGUCCCCAAAAACAUUCAAAAUAGUAGCUGAAAUUGCUGCCAUUUUCGCUCAAAAACAACCUAGAAAUUCAGUUAAUAACUGUCCUAAAAUACGUAAAAAUUCAGCUCUAAAACACGGUAGUCCAAAGUCGCCAAACCUGCCGUUAAACCCACCUAAAACCACCAAUUUUGUAUUCCAAUAACUCAUUGAAAAAUAGUAAAAAUACAGCAGCAAGUGACCGUGAAAACCAGCCCUGAAACAACCAUGAGAAUCCAUGGCAUGAACCCCUUUGCCUUCGAGUUCCAGUUGUAGUCGAGUAGCGAGGUUCAUUACGUCGAGUUCGCCGAUUCAAAGUUUCAGUAGCUCGCUGUGGUCAACUUGAUCUGGAUUUUCACGUUUGGAGAAUAUUGAGCAAAGGUCCAUUCUAAUCUUUGUCAUUUUUUUUGUGUAAUUGCGUGAAUAAACCUACACCAUAUUUAAUAAAUAUUGUUUAGUUUAAAUUGUGGUUUGCAAAUAUAUGUUCAGUUAUAUUAUUCGGUGAAUAUUUUCAUGUUAUCAUUAUUAGUAGUAUUUUCUCUUUCUUCUGUCUAGCUUGAUCUAUUGAUUGUGACCAUGUUAAAAAUUUGUGCUAAUCUGGUGGUUACAUCUUUGUUGCGGGGUGUGCUUUGGAUUUUACAUGAUUCAUGAAGUUUGUUUUUGUUUGUAUUAUUGCUUGUGUUUCGUAUAUUUAUUAUCUUAAAUUUAUAAUGUUAGAUUAUCAAAUGUUUAGGGGUGGAUAUUUAAAAAUAAGAAUGUUAAAUUAGUUGAAUAAUUCAAUAACUUCAAUCAACCACAUGCCUUUUCCUAUAGUUUUGAUAAUUAAAUCACAUUAUUUUUUUACAAUGAUCCCUCUCAUACCUUUUGGCCUCCCAAUAAUCUCAAGAUUUAGGAAGAAUAAUGAAUAUCAUUGGAAUAUUUUUAGGCACUCAAUUUAUCAUCGUAAUUAUGUACACGUUCGCGUGACAUAAUUAUGAUUUUUUAUAAAUAAAUAAAUCGAGGUAUGCGUUCGCGCAACUUCGGCCAAAUUUUCUUAAUAACAAUAAAACGUUAUUAAUUGUGGACACGUUCACGUGAUAUGAUUUUUGACACACCAAACAAAUGGGUACACGUGCGCGUGACCCGUUUCAAGGUAAUUUCUUAAUUACGAAUAAAUUAAGCAAUUAAAAGUGGUUAAGGAGGUGAAUGCACAUAGGUUCUAAAAUAAGUAAUUAGACAAUUUAAUUAAGUCCAGUAUGAUUAAAGUGACCGUGCUAAAACCACAAAACUCGGGAAUGACUAACACCUUCUCCCGGGUUAACAGAAUUCCUUACCCGAAUUUCUGUAUUCGCAGACCUUAAAUAAGAGUCAACUUUCUUCGAUUUGGGAUUUUUAAACUGGUGACUUGGGACACCAUAAAUUAUCUCAAGUGACGACUCUGAAUUUAAUAUAAAUAAUCCCGUUUUGAUUGUCACUUAAAUUAUAAAAACUCCCUUAUAUCCCUUUUGGGGUGAUAAAAAGGAGGUGUGACAGCUCUGGCGACUCUGCUGGGGAUAAGAACCCAGAACUUCCAGUUCAGGGUUCAAGAAUUCGAGCUUGUUAAUGCGAUUUUUAUUUGGCUUUAUUGUUGAUAUUACUGUAUUUUGUGGACUUAAUGUGCUAUUUGUCAUUUACUGCUAUGAUAUUACUUGAACUGUAUUUAAAUGUCUUCUUACGCCACUCCUCUGAGUCUUCUGAAAAUGGUGCACGCGUUCACGUGACCCGCUUUUUCUAUAGAAAUUAUACCAAAUAAUUCGAGGCUGGACUAGUAACAAGGCCGGGUAGACUUUAGUGCUUCCGGUACAUUGCCCCCUCUUCGGCCCUAGUUAUCCGCUCGGGUAACCCAAGUCUAGAACACAACCCCAGGUUAAAUCUAGAAUGACAUAGCCUUAUGCUGGAUCCCUAGUAGGAACGUUUGUUUGCAUCACGUGCAUUUGACCUUAGGGGGCUCAACACAGGGGUUGGGUCCGUCUAGGACAAGUGUACCCGAAAUGGAAGACCAUCCUGGAGCAUCUUACGUGCUAUUUGUAUAUUUAUUUGCUUUGGCUUGUAUGCUGACCGGCUAAGGAAAGAAAAAUAACAAAAAAAAACAAGAGUGAGGUAGGAUAGAGAAUUCACCCGGUUCUGAAAACUCUGUUAUUUGAAAAUGCCUCAAAACUCUGCCAAAAUUUUUGAAAGAAAAGGAAAAGAAAAUGUAUUUCAAAAAAAAAAUGAAAGUGAGUCAAUAUCAUGUUUUUCCAAUUAUGUCAAAAUUGGGCUAACUACGCGGGUUUGAUUCCCACUAGAUGUGAGAUACGUAGGCAAACUCAUCGGUUCCAGCCCACAAUUUGUAAAACAAAUCCAAAAAUAUUUUUCAUUACUUUCUUCUUUAGAAAGUCUUUCUUUUAUACCCCAUUUUUUUUAAAAAAAAAUAUAAAAAAUAUUUUCUUUUAAUUUCUUCUAAAAAUCCAAAAAAAAUAUUUUCAUUUUUCUUUCAAAAAAUGAAAAGAAAAUUCAAGUUUCAAAAAUAUUUUCUUUUUCUUUAGAAGCAUUUCUUCAUAAAUUCAAAGUAAAAUUCCAAAAAUUCAAAAAUAUUUUCUUUUUUCUUUAGAAGUUUUUCUUCGAAAUUCCAAAAAAAAGAAAAAAGGUUGAUAUUAAACAAAUAUUAAAAAAUAUAUCUCUUUUCUUUAGAAGUUUUUCUUUGCAAAAUUUUUGAAGAAAAAUCAAAAUCCAAAAAUAUUCUCUUUCUUCUUUAUAAGUGUUUCUUUCGAAAAAAUAAAAUGAAAAAUUCAAAAUCCAAAAAAAGGUUAGUUUGUUUACUUUAUUCCUGAUCUUCCCGAACUACGCAAGAAUCUGAUUCAUGUUCCCACAUGAUACGUAGGCAAUCCACAUAAGGUUUGAUCAACCAUUGAAAAGGAAAAUGAGAAAAAAUGAAAAAAAAUGAGAAAACAAAAGUGAAAAAAUGUUGAUAAUAAUAAGGACUGACUGAGUCCAUUCUAACGUGUCUUUUAUUUUAAAUUGUGAAGAAAUUUUGAGGUGGUCGGUUCGUGGUAAGUGGACAACACAAGAUCCAAGGAAAAAUGAUAACUGACAUCGAAGCUGUUACAAGUGCUCAAGAGACUCAGGAUCAGAUGGUUCAACAAGAGUCUACCGUGUUUGAGGAAAAAAGAAUACUGAAACAGUAAAUGGCCAAAAUGUGUCAAGCAUAGGCCAAUGGCCAAGGACAACCUUGUCAUGAGUCACAAUUUUCUAUCCAGCAAGAGUAGUACCACUCUCCUGAGUACCACUCUUACCUAUUUGAUCUUCUUGCAAAGAUUGAGAAGCCUGCCCGAAAGAUGGCACAGGAAGAAAUGACCCAAAGAGUGAAAAUCUUAGAACAAAAGUUGAAAAACAUACAAUGGUUGGCGGGUCAGAAGAGCAUUGCCUUCAAGGAUUUAUGUAUGUUCCCCGAUGUCCACUUGCCACCUGGUUUCAAGACUCCCAAAUUUGAAAAGUAUGAUGGAUAUGGAGACCCCAUAGCCCACCUGAAAAGGCAUUGCAAUCAACUAAGAGGUGCGGGAAGAAAUGAAGAAUUGCUAAUAGCUUAUUUUGGGGAAAGCCUUACGGGAGUAGCAUCCGAGUGGUUUAUGUAUCAAGACACGUCUCGCUGGUAUGUCUGGGAUGACAUGGCACAUGCCUUUGUCAAACAGUUCCAAUACAACAUCGACAUCGCCCUAAACCACAAUUCCCUUACAAACCUGAAGAAGAAACCAACUGAGAGUUUCAUUGAAAAUGCCACUAAAUGGAGAGAGCAAGCAGCUAGAGUUAAACCACCCAUGGAUGACCACGAGCUAAUCACUGUCAUUCUUCAGGCUCAAGAGCCAGAUUAUUUUCAAAACAUGAUGUCCGCAAUGGGUAAAUCCUUCUCGGAAGCAAUCAAAAUGGGGGAAAUGGUUGAAAAUGAUCUUAAGACAGGCAAAAUUGUAAGUCAAGCAAUUCUCAAAGCCGCAACUCAGGCUGUCCACAUUGAAUCUGAUAAUUUUAGUUACACAAAUGAGAAAGACGAAGAAAUCAUGAUGACAUCAGGGUCGGGAACAAAUCCUAGGAGAGCAUCUCAAAGGUAUGAUCAGCCUCGUCUGUUUUCCGAUGAUCCUCUGGAGUAUUACUAUCCCCCUCAGAACUCACAAUACUCUGUCGCUCCACCUCAGUAUGUUGUCCAGCCACCAAAACACCCCAGAAGGUGAGCACGAGCAUCGCAAAAUCUCCACCAACCUCCACAAAAUUUUCAAAUGCCCUAUAACCCACAUCCAAGCCAGGGGUAUAGAGGGGAACAAAGGUUGAAAGAUAAUUUUACACCAAUAGGAGGGUCCUAUGCAAGCUUGUUUGAGAAAUUAAAGCAUUAUGACAUGAUUUCACCUAUUCCUCCAAAUCAUGUGGACCCAUGUGCAAGAAACUUUGACCCUUCUAAAAGGUGUGAAUACCAUUCCAAUACCCAGGGGCACAAUGUUGAAAGCUGUCGGGAUUUGAAAAGAGAAAUAGAAAGGAUGAUCCAGGAAAACCCGAUUGUGAUCCAAGACAGUGACACCCAGAAUAUCGCACAGAAUCCUUUACAUGCACAUGAUGAUGCACACUUUGUGGGGAUAAUUCCUGGUGACAUGGAGUAUGAGAAUCCUCUUGGGAACUUGCCGACUAAAAUUGGAGAAGGCCAUGGUGAUUCUGAUGAGCAAAUUUGUGGCUAAAUGUCAAGCUUAACAAUUGAAAAGUUAUUCUCUCCUCACUAGGAAGGAAUCUUGGUAGCUUGUUUUGAUGUUUUUUCUACUAUCUGGGUUAUUUCAGGGUUGUCAUCCAGAUUUUAUUUGUUUUAUUUAGUCAAACCCUUCUAUCCAUCAAUUCUUUUUGUGUGAGUCUUGUCUGUGUGUUCUAUUGCUAUUUUCAUUAUGCGAGUUAUUUUAGGGUUGUAACUCGGAUUUUAGGUUGUUUGUCUUAUUGUCAAACCCUUUCAUCCAUUAUUUAAUAAAAUACAGUUUGUCAUUUUAUGUCAUUCUGUUCCUAGUUCUUUUCUCGCUAGUUCUAAUAACAUGACAUGCAUGCGGAAAUUUUGGCUAAAUCUUAGAAACUGAUUUAAUCUGAAAUUGAAAAAAAACACUUUUGAGGAUGAAUAAAGAGUUGAAGUACUUUGGAACUAAGGUCGAGUAAAAUUCACCUUCAAAUCAUUGUGAAGAUCGGACUUGAGGAUAUUUAAUCAAUUGAAGUUUGCUAUAAAGUUUGACAUUAAGGGAUGGAAAGUAUCUUGUGACCACGACACACCAAGAAGACAGACAUAUUCGUCAAUUGCUGUGAUCGCGAAAAGAUACUAUGUUUGGCAUUCUCGAGGCUGGGAGGCCCUUUUUCUGCUAUCCAAACACUUUAUAACCUUCGCUACCCCUUUUGAGCCUGUGUUAUUUUCUUUGACCACCCUCUUUUGGAAUCAAGUUUAGAGUCAAGAGUCAAAAAACAAAAAAAUGAAAAAAAAGAGUAAAAGAAAAGAAAAAAAUGUCCAUGUCCAAACUACUAAGAGUACAAACCGGGUCAAUUCUUAGAAAGUUCAAAUGAAAAAAAAUGAAGAAGAAAAGAACUGGCAAAGGUCCAUGCCCCCAGAAAAUAGAAGCUGGGGCAACUUGUUUUGAAAACAACAAAAAACAAAAGACAAAAGAAAAAAAAACAAAGAAAAAGAAAGACAGAUGAAAAAAAUAAUUAGGUCAGAUGUUUGAACUACGUUAGACCUGAUUCCUUAAAAAAAGGAUACGUAGACAGCCUUACACGGUUCGGUCCAACCAAAUAAAAGUCGUAACAAAAAAAUCCAAAUAAAAAAAAUCCCAAUAUUUGAAACUGGGGCAGAGAUUUUAUUUCACUUUUGAAAGAGUCGAUUCCAAGAGUUGUAAGUGUACAACCCAUCAUAUUGAGUCUACUUUGGGUCUUCAUGCCGUCCUUUCUUUCCAACCCUAUCCAAAAACCUUCCAAAUAAAGGUCUCGUGAUCAGCCUUCAAGAAUGCUAAGAGACGCAUGCGAUGAGCAACAGUUGUCGCAUGACGUAGAACACUAUCAAGUUGCUCACAAAAGAAAGAGAAAAAGAAAUAGAAAAAAUGAGAGAGUCUUACUAGUGAAAACCCUCACGUACACUGUAAGACGACGGUAAGCAGAGAUGAAUAAAUAAGAGAGACUUGGUGGUGAAAACCCCUCGAGGCACCACUAGUCGAAAGUGAGACAUGAAGUUGAUACAAAGAAUUAGCACAAACAAGCCCGACUUCAAAGGUCAUAAGAAUGGUAAAAAGGAAGAUUGGAUUAGUUGGAUAGAUCAGGCCGUUAAGUCCAAAAUGCAUGUCAUGAUCAUUAAGGCUAGUUACCUCAUUAAAAAAAAGAACAAAGCCUUUUCUUUCUAAAAAAAAAAAUCUUCCUUCUAUCCUUCCCGACAGAGACAUUUCUUAUUAAUAUUAUUUCUUUGCAUCAUUUGUGUCCUUCACUUUGAGUCCGUCCUUGUCAAAACAAGCAAGAAAAGAUUUCAAAAUCUGCUACCAGCUUUUCAGUUGCACAAAGUAAAUUUGGCCAGCGCACUCAGUUGUUACUGUUAACAUGCCUUGGAGAAUUAAUGCAAAGGUUUCUCCCCAAAAGACUCUUGUCAGCCUAUUCGGUUAAAGCAAGCAAAGAUAACCUCAAGGUUAAUCAUGGAUUCUUUGUAGUACCGAACAACGACUAUGAAGUGUGCAUAUCAUGCAAAAGGCUCUUACAAGUUGUGAUUCUCUCUGACAGGUAAAUUGUUCCAAAAGCAAAGACAUUCAAGAUAUCUGAAAAGGUUAUCUAAGAAAGAAAUCUCUUUUUUGAGAUAAGGCUGACUGAGCCACAAAUACAAAUGGUACUAGGUGAGAAAUAAUCAGAGUUGGUGCAGAACAAAAGUCUCUUGAGGCCGACUCAAGCUGAUUGAGCACAAAGCCAAGUUGCUCAAGACUCAAGGCCACAAACCGACCACCACUUUCAAAACUGAUAAAAUUUUCUUUGUUUGAAACAGGAACAAAGCAGUGCAAGGAUAGUUGUUCAAAAAAAAGAGAAAAAGAAAACCAAAAGAAAAGAAGAAGAAGAAGAAGAAAAAAGUCGACAAAGGGAAGUUUCUCAAAUCUCUGCCUUUAUUUGUCUUGUUAUUGUACAUAAAAUCUUACCAUUGAUCUUCACAUUAUAUCCUCCUAGGAUAAAAAGUCAUAGUCUGAUGGAUUUUUCUUCCAAUAAAAAUCUUAGUUUGAUGAAUCUUUCUCCUAAGAUACCAAAAAGAAGAAAAGAGACCUAGUCUGAUGAAUUUUCUCCUAGGAUCAAAAUCUUAGUCUGGUGAAUCUUUCUCCUAAGAUACCAAAAAGAAGAAAAGAGACCUAGUCUGAUGAAUUUUCUCCUAGGAUCAAAAUCUUAGNNNNNNNNNNNNNNNNNNNNNNNNNNNNNNNNNNNNNNNNNNNNNNNNNNNNNNNNNNNNNNNNNNNNNNNNNNNNNNNNNNNNNNNNNNNNNNNNNNNNNNNNNNNNNNNNNNNNNNNNNNNNNNNNNNNNNNNNNNNNNNNNNNNNNNNNNNNNNNNNNNNNNNNNNNNNNNNNNNNNNNNNNNNNNNNNNNNNNNNNNNNNNNNNNNNNNNNNNNNNNNNNNNNNNNNNNNNNNNNNNNNNNNNNNNNNNNNNNNNNNNNNNNNNNNNNNNNNNNNNNNNNNNNNNNNNNNNNNNNNNNNNNNNNNNNNNNNNNNNNNNNNNNNNNNNNNNNNNNNNNNNNNNNNNNNNNNNNNNNNNNNNNAACUCACAAAUCUUCUUAGUGCAAACUGGGGCAGAAAAAAUUUCUUUUGUUUUGUCUGUUUUGUUGUAAUCAGGCACCCAUCCGGAGAACAAGGGAAGACAGUUCAAGUUUCAAGGAAAAGCAGUUUUGAAGGAAGAUAGUUCAAGUUUCAAGGGAAAAUAGUUCGAGUUUCAAGGGAAAACAAUUCAAGUUUCAAAAUAAGUCAGUUCAAGUUUUAGCAAUCAGGUGCCCACCUGGAGGACAAGGGAAGUCAUUUCAGAAUCCGAUUCAAGUUAGAAGUAGCAGAAGCUCGCCUAAAAAAUAUGGGUCGAUAGGGGUCCGGGAUAACAAAAAAGAAGUCUCAAUCAAGAAUAAAAGAAAAAAAGUGAAUCCAAAGUGCAGAAGAGGAGAAAAGAUGUGGUCUGCUCAAGACAUAAUUGAAGUCACAAGCUCUGCAUGUCCCGUCUUGAUCUGAAAAAGCUGAAGAAGAUUGAACCAACACCUGUAGCUAACAAGCAUCAAGAUUCAGAUCAGAGUCCGCAUGAAGAACCAACCAAUACUCAAGAUCAAGCUUUAGAAGACUCAUAGAUAGGAAUCUUGUAACUCGUAGGCUGUAGCUGAUAGGCUUAGUUAGUUUUUUCAAUUUUGAUUUUUGAUGUAAUAACGGGACCGCGGACCGGAACCUCGACGGAACGGAACCUCACCCGGCUCUCCACCUCAGUACGCUCUAUCACCUCAUUCAGUUCUGAACUACACAUGGCCUGAUUCCUUUAUAGCCAAGGAUAUGUAGGCAGCUCAGAUACCAGGCUCGGUCACAUUCUCUUUUCUUUUAAGUGUUCGGUCUCUCUAAAUAAGGUUCGGGUCAAAAAACCUGUCUCGUCGUUCUUUGUCUGAAAACUCUUCGCGUUUCCAGUUAAAGAUGGGCAGCCGUAGACAUGUAAUUUUUGACCCUCUCCAAGAUUUUACACCUUUUAGCGUAAAUAUUUAGUUUAGGUUUAGUAUUGCUCUCUUUUGCUUUAUUUUAUCAUAAAAAUAAAAAUUACAAAAAUAUUUUCUCUUAUUUUAACUAUUAGUUGAUACUUUGUCUAGUUAGUUUUACUUUUGAAAAAAUACAAAAAAUAAUUUUGGCAUUUUUAUUUUCCGAAAAAAAAUAAUAAGAAGAAAAAUUUCAAAAAAUACUUAGUUUAGUUUAAAAGUUAUAGGCCUCUAAUGAAAUAUUGAAUAGUUAGAUUUUCUUUUUUAAAUAAAAAUUAUUUUAUUUCUUUCUUUUAAUAUCCGAUUAGUUUAGAUAAACUAACAAUUUUGUUUCAUCUUCAAAAGAUUAAAAUUGAAAACAAACAGAAGAAUAGAAAAAAAGAAGAAAAAAAACGGAAAGCAAAAAAACGUGAAAAAUCAAAGGAAAAAAAAUCAAAAAAAAGAAAAGAAGGUAGAAAGAAAAUUAGAUCUCCCUUACGUGGCUCCCAUAUUUUUUGUCCUUCCUUAAUUUCUUAUUCUUUAGUAGGUCCCACCUCCAAAAUUAAUUUUCAUCCAUAUCUUCUAUCAAAAUCACGUGCCUUCCUUCCAUCCAUAACAGAAUUUGAUUCCUUUUGGUUACACUCUUAAUAUUGGCAUUUUCAUGGGGACCACACGUUAACUUUCUCAUCAAGAUACAAUACUAUGUAAAAGCACACACAGAUAUACACAAAAGGAGGAGGUCUGCAAAGAGAGAGUGGGACGAAAAAAACAAAAUUAAAGAAAAAAGAAAGAGAAGGAGGAACGAAAAGAUCUGGGGAAGGGAGAUAAACACACACAUGCAAAGAAAGGGGGCCUGGGGACGGGAGCCAAAGGGAAGGUGACAGAGAAAUAGAAAAACGAAAAACUGAGGGGAACGGGAGAAAAAUAGAGGGACAUAGGCCGCUGGUCUUCUUCAUCUAUAACCCAAAAAAAUCCAUCCCUAAGAACACCAACUGUAGGAAAAUGAAUUGAUAAGGAAAAUAUUUUCCAAAACAUUUAAGCCAACCAAACAUGGGAAAAUUGGAAAAUAUUUUUCGAAAAAUGUUUUCCUUCAUACCAAACACACCCUUAAUUGCAAAAUUAGUGGUUCAUGAAAUGCUUUACAUUCUACAGUUACCAGAAACUAAUUUACUCCGCUAAGGGAUUUAUACUCUUAUUGAAGAAACUAAACCAUUAAUAAAACAACAGAAAAGAUAUUAACUUGAUUAUUGAAACUAGAGAUCAAAUUUCAUCUUUCCUGCAGGUUUUUGCUGUUCUCCUUCAUUCACUCCCUCUGAUUCCCCCCCUUUUCCCGUCCUCUCAAAAAAGAAAAAAAAACCUUUCUCUCUCUCUAACAUGGGCUGGCCUUGCAUAUGAGGAAUCUAGUGAUAUGGGUUGAAUCUGUGAGGUUUUGAACACAAAAAAGAAAGAGAAAUUUUUGGAGAAGGUGUGUUGCUGGUUUGAUGUUGGACGACUAAUUAGUCAAUUGUUUCUAUUUUUUGAAGAGCUUGCUGGAAAUUAUCGAAAAUAACAAAAUGAAGAAGAAGCAAUGCACAUGAGAAAAAGAAAGCUCCGUUAGAAAGUGAAGGAAAAGUUAACAGAAGGAUGUUCUCGAGAGAUGUUUUUAGUUAAGUGGGAUAUUAUAAGGAUGUAGUGAAAGUUGAGGUAAAACAAUUGAGAUGAAAAAGGUCAAAAACUCUAAGAUUUCGUAUUGAAUACAUUACUUUUGAUAUUUGAGUUAUAACGACGUUGCAACUAAUUUGCAUAUUUGAUAUAUGUCAUACUUUUCGUAUUAUUCAUAGUUGAAUUAUAAUUUAUAAAUAUUUUAAACAGAUUAUUUGUCAUAAUUUUGUGAUUUUAAUGUAAUUUUUAUAAUUAUUUUAAUAUUAUACUAUCUUAAAAUUCUUGAAAUUAAUAAAAUUUAAAGAUACUUGGGACUUACGCCCCAUGUCUCAAGGCUUACGCCUCGCCCCAUCAAAGGUAAAACGUCUCGCCUCACGCCCCCGUCUUUUAAAACAUUGCUCGUAGCUGAUAGGCAUAGUUAGUUUUUUCAAUUUUGAUUUUUGAUGUAAUAACGGGACCACAGAUCGGAACCUCAACGGAACGGAACCUCACUCGGCUCUCCACCUCAGUAUGUUCCAUCACCUCAUUCAAUGCUAAACUACACGUGGCCUGAUUCCUUUAUAGCUAAGGAUAUGUAGGCAGCUCAGAUACCAGGGUUCGGUCACAUUCUCUUUUCUUAUAAGUGUUCGGUCUCUCUAAAUAAGGUUCGGGUCAAAAAACUUGUCUCGUCGUUCUUUGUAUGAAAACUCUUCGCAUUUUCAGUCAAAGAGGGGCAGCUGUAGACAUGUAAUUUUUGAUCCUCUCCAAGAUUUUACACCUUUUAGCGUAAAUAUUUAGUUUAGGUUUAGUAUUGCUCUCUUUUGCUUUAUUUUAUCACAAAACUAAAAAUUACAAAAAUAUUUUCUCUUAUUUUAACUAUUAGUUGAUAUUUUGUCUAGUUAAUUUUACUUUUGAAAAAAUACAAAAAAUAAUUUUGGCAUUUUUAUUUUCCAAAAAAAAAAUAAUAAGAAGAAAAAGUUCAAAAAAUAUAUCUAUAUUUACUUAGUUUAGUUUAAAAGUUGUAAGCCUCUAAUGAAAUAUUGAGUAGUUAGAUUUUUUUUUAAAUAAAAAUUAGUUUAUUUCUUUCUUUUAAUAUCCCAUUAGUUUAGAUAAACUAACAAUUUUGUUUCAUCUUCAAAAGAUUAAAAUUGAAAACAACCAGAAGAAUAGAAAAAAAUGGAAAGCAAAAAAACGUGAAAAAGCAAAGGAAAAAAAAUCAAAGAAGAAAGAAAAAAAGAUAGAAAGAAAAUUAGAUUCCCCUUACGUGGCUCCCAUAUUUUUUGUCCUUCCUUAAUUUCUUAUUCUUUAGUAGGUCCCACCUCCAAAAUUAAUUUUCAUCUAUAUCUUCUAUCAAAAUCACGUGCCUUCCUUCUAUCCAUAACAGAAUUUGAUUCCUUUUGGUUACACUCUUAAUUUUGGCAUUUUCAUGGGGACCACACAUUAACUUUCCCAUCAAGAUACAACACUAUAUAAAAGUACACAUAUAUACACAAAAGGAGGAGGUGUGCAAAGAGAGAGUGGGACGAAAAAAACAAAAAUAAAGAAAAAAGAAAGAGGAGGAGGAACGAAAAGAUCUAGGGGAAGGGAGAUAAACACACACAUGCAAAGAAAGGGGGGCCUGGGGACGAGAUCCAAGGGUAAGGUGACAGAGAAAUAGAAAAACAAAAAACUGAUGGAACGGGAGAAAAACAGAGGGACAUAGGCAGCUGGUCUUCUUCAUCUAUAACCCAAAAAAAUCCAUCCCUAAGAAUACCAUAACCUUGAAAACAACCGCAAAACGUCCAAAAAGAGUCCAAAAGUCAGCUCCAAAACACCAAUGUUCUUAGCCCUAAAAUCCAGCCAAAAACAGUCCCCAAAAACAUUCAAAAUAGCAGCUCAAAUUGCUCCCAUUUUCGCUGAAAAACACCCCAGAAAUUCAGUUAAUAACUGUCCUAAAAUACAUAAAAAUUCAGCUCUAAAAUGCGGUAGUCCAAAGCCGCUAAACCUGCCGUUAAACCCACCUAAAACCACCAAUUUUGCAGUCCAAUAACUCACUGAAAAACAGUAAAAAUACAGUAACAAGUGGCUGUGAAAACCAACCCUGAAACAACCCUGAGAAUCCAUGGCAUGAACCUCUUUGCCUUCGAGUACCAGUUGUAGUCAAGUAGCGAAGUUCAUUACGUCGAGGUCGCCGGUUCAAAGUUUCAGUAGCUCGCUGUGGUCGACUCGAUCUGGAUUUUCACAUUUGGAGAAUAUUGAGCUAAAGUCCAUUCUAAUCUUUGUCAUUUUUUUUGUGUAAUUGCGUGAAUAAACCCACACUAUAUUUAAUAAAUAUUGUUCAGUUUAAAUUGCGGUUUGAAAAUAUAUGUUCAGUUAUAUUAUUCGGUGAAUAUUUUCAUGUUAUCCUUAUUAGUAGUAUUUUCUCUUUCUUCUGUCUAGCUUGAUCUAUUGAUUGUGACCAUGUUAAAAGUUUGUGCUAAUCUGGUGGUUACAUCUUUGUUGCGGGGUGUGCUUUGG
rnacentral:lncRNA from 1 species